rnacentral:ncRNA from 1 species
UGGUCCUGGCCUUAUAAUCAAUUAUUACCCAACUUACACAUGCAAGUAUCCGCACCCCUGUGAGAAUGCCCUAUCAUCCCUCUAGGGACCUGGAGCCGGUAUCAGGCUCGACCCUCAGCCCACGACACCUAGCAUCGCCACACCCACAAGGGUCUACAGCAGUGAUUAACAUUGACCAUGAGCGAAAGCUUGACUCAGUCAGGGUAAAUAGAGCCGGCAAAUCUGGUGCCAGCCGCCGCGGCCACACCACGGACUCAAACUGAUUACACUCGGCGUAAAGCGUGAUUAAAGAUAACUUAAACUGCAGUUAAACUGGAACUAGAGCGUUAAACCUUUGAAACCAGGAAAGGCAAAAACGAAAGUCACUGCAAACCAACCCACUUGACCCCACGACAGUUAGGACACAAACUGGGAUCAGAUACCCCACUAUGCCUUACCGUAAACCUUAACUUACACCCAAAUCGCCAGGGAACUACGAGCCAAGCNNNNNNNNNNNNNNNNNNNNNNNNNNNNNNNNNNNNNUAGAGGAGCCUGUCCUAUAAUCGAUGACCCCCGUUUAACCUCACCACUCUUUGCUACCAGUCUGUAUAUCGCCGUCGUCAGCUUACCUCAUGAGAGCCCCCCAGUAAGCAAGAAGGUCCCCACCAAAACGUCAGGUCAAGGUGCAGCUAAUAGAGUGGGAAGAGAUGGGCUACACUCUCUAACUUAGAACAUACGGAAGACUAAAUGAAAUUUUAAUCAGAAGGCGGAUUUAGCAGUAAAACGAGACAAGAGCGCUCGCUUAAACAUGGCCCUGGGGUGUGUACACACCGCCCGUCACCCUCUUCGAAACCUUGAAAUACAGUAUUUAACACCCCCCCCCCCUUAUAUAGAGAAGAGGCAAGUCGUAACAUGGUAAGCCUACCGGAAGGUGCGCUUGGAAA